rnacentral:rRNA from 1 species
GAUGAACGCUGGCGGCGUGCCUAAUACAUGCAAGUCGAGCGAACAGAUGAGGAGCUUGCUCCUCUGACGUUAGCGGCGGACGGGUGAGUAACACGUGGAUAACCUACCUAUAAGACUGGGAUAACUUCGGGAAACCGGAGCUAAUACCGGAUAAUAUAUUGAACCGCAUGGUUCAAUAGUGAAAGACGGUUUUGCUGUCACUUCUAGAUCGAUCCGCGCCGCAUUAGCUAGUUGGUAAGGUAACGGCUUACCAAGGCAACGAUGCGUAGCCGACCUGAGAGAGGGAUCGGCCACACUGGAACUGAGACACGGUCCAGACUCCUACGGGAGGCAGCAGUAGGGAAUCUUCCGCAAUGGGCGAAAGCUUGACGGAGCAACGCCGCGUGAGUUAUGAAGGUCUUCGGAUCGUAAAACUCUGUUAUUAGGGAAGAACAAAUGUGUAAGUAACUAUGCACGUCUUGACGGUACCUAAUCAGAAAGCCACGGCUAACUACGUG